rnacentral:rRNA from 1 species
AUUGAACGCUGGCGGCAGGCUUAACACAUGCAAGUCGAACGAGUGGCGGACGGGUGAGUAAUGUCUGGGAAACUGCCUGAUGGAGGGGGAUAACUACUGGAAACGGUAGCUAAUACCGCAUACCAUCAGAUGUGCCCAAGUGGGAUUAGGUAGUUGGUGGGGUAAAGGCUCACCAAGGCGACGAUCCCUAGCUGGUCUGAGAGGAUGACCAGCCACACUGGGACUGAGACACGGUCCAGACUCCUACGGGAGGCAGCAGUGGGGAAUAUUGCGCAAUGGGCGCAAGCCUGACGCAGCCAUGCCGCGUGAGUGAAGAAGGCCUUCGGGUUGUAAAGCACUUUCGGUGGGGAGGCGUUAACUGCAGAAGAAGCACCGGCUAACUCCGUGCCAGCAGCCGCGGUAAUUC